UACCCUUGACAUGUACGGAACCCUGCAGAGAUGUGGGGGUGCUUGAAAGAGAGCCGUAACACAGGUGCUGCAUGGCUGUCGUCAGCUCGUGUCGUGAGAUGUUGGGUUAAGUCCCGCAACGAGCGCAACCCUUGUCCCUAGUUGCUACGCAAGGGCACUCUAGGGAGACUGCCGGUGACAAACCGGAGGAAGGUGGGGAUGACGUCAAGUCCUCAUGGCCCUUAUGGGUAGGGCUUCACACGUCAUACAAUGGCCGGUACAGAGGGUUGCCAAAGCGCGAGCUGGAGCCAAUCCCCAUAAAAGCCGGUCGUAGUCCGGAUUGCAGUCUGCAACUCGACUGCAUGAAGUCGGAAUCGCUAGUAAUCGCGGAUCAGCAUGUCGCGGUGAAUACGUUCCCGGGUC
rnacentral:rRNA from 1 species